CAGUGAGGUCCGCUGCAGAGGUGACCGGGCUUCAUCUCACACCUGAGCUGCAGCACAUUCCAGAACAGUCACUGAGGCCACUCACAAAACCAGCACAACCCAGCUCCCUCCUGAGCACCUAAGGAAGGAGGCCGGGCUCCCUAUGGCUUGGAAGAUUUUAAAUAAAAUCAACCCACAGCUGAAGGAAGAUUUCUGGCUGAUAUAGACAGCAAGAAUUUACACAGGAAGGCUGGGGACCACAGAGUCCAUCUGUGUCAAGCACUGUUCAAGAUGCUGAGGACAUGUCACGAAAGGUCUGCUGAUAGGAAACAGCAUAGGACAUGGACAUGAGCAAGAGGAAGCAGAUCCAAAGUGGGGAGGUGGGUGGUCAGCGAACUAUGGUAAAUCAGCUGGCUGGAGCAGAGGAGUGAAAUUAUCUGACAUACACAUCUUAAAGAAGCCCGUUGAGGUAGCGGUGGGACCAGUAUGAGUCCACUGCAGUUAGACCUCUAGGUGGCCAGCAUGUAGCACCCAGGGUUGUGGGAAGAAGUCCUCGGCUAGUUAACUGCUUACUGUCAGGGCCCCACUGGGGCAUGGACUCUACAUCAUUCACUGCUGCGUCCCCAUGCCUGAGAGCAGGGGGCAGACAUGUGGCCACAGAGCACCAAAGUGGGCUGCCACACGUCCUUUACCCUCUGCUACCUCCACGUGGACCCAGCUCACAGAGUUCCACUACAUAGUAGCUGUGUAACCCGUCAAGUCACUUCAGCUCUCCAGGAAACUUUCCAUUGACAGGGCAGCGGACUUGACGGAGAAGGGACUGCUACUUCACCCCCACCCAAAGACCGCAUCCCCCCCCUUGCUCUGAUAUUUGUGUGACGCUGCCAGCUUUAGAAUUUUGUGAUUUUUAUCAGAGAAGAGACAUUUGGGGCAACUGAGGAAACAAGAACAUAAUUAUAUUUCACAAAGAGAAACAUUACCAAUGGUCUGUUUAUCGCUACAACAGACAAUCAGUUCAUUUAAUGCCUUCCAACAUCUUUUCAAAUCAGUUAGAAAUGGACUCUUAUUAAGGGAGAGUUACAAAAAGCUGCGUUAUCUGGCAUUAACCAAUCCGAAGGCUUCUGAAAGUCACAUUUCUGAGAUUCCACCAAUAUAAACGUACAAGUCUACAAGGGGACCAGGCAGAUGCUAAUCAUAAUCCAAAAGGUGACCAGUAUUCAACACCAGUUUCCAGAGAUGAAACUAUGUCUGUUUGGGGAACUUGUCCCCCUUUAUCACUGCAUUGCCUCAGAUUGUUUUCUGUAAAACAUUUUACAUUCUGUAGAAGUAUUUUGUAAAUAAACAGAAGGUGGUUUACUUUCAAAACUCAGGCUUUA